UACGAAGGGGGCGAGCGUUGUCCGGAUUUAUUGGGCGUAAAGAGCGUGUAGGCGGCAGAGCAGGUCCGUUGUGAAAACUGAAGGCUCAACCUUCAGAGGUCGAUGGAAACCGUUCGGCUAGAGUCCGGAAGAGGAGAGUGGAAUUCCUGGUGUAGCGGUGACAUGCGCAGAUAUCAGGAAGAACACCCGUGUCGAAAGCGGCUCUCUGGGACGGUACUGACGCUGAGACGCGAAAGCGUGGGGAGCGAACAGG
rnacentral:rRNA from 1 species